rnacentral:miRNA from 1 species
UGGUACGUGAAAAAUAGAUUUCUA